AUUGAACGCUGGCGGCAUGCCUUACACAUGCAAGUCGAACGGCAGCGGACCUUCGGGUGCCGGCGAGUGGCGAACGGGUGAGUAAUAUAUCGGAACGUACCUUUCAGUGGGGGAUAACGUAGCGAAAGUUACGCUAAUACCGCAUAUUCUGUGAGCAGGAAAGCAGGGGAUCGCAAGACCUUGCGCUGAUUGAGCGGCCGAUAUCAGAUUAGCUAGUUGGUGAGGUAAAGGCUCACCAAGGCGACGAUCUGUAGCGGGUCUGAGAGGAUGAUCCGCCACACUGGAACUGAGACACGGUCCAGACUCCUACGGGAGGCAGCAGUGGGGAAUUUUGGACAAUGGGCGCAAGCCUGAUCCAGCCAUGCCGCGUGAGUGAAGAAGGCCUCGGUUGUAAGACUCUUUCUAGCGGAGAAACGACGAUGGUUAAGUACCUCGUGUGGAGUGACGGUACCGGAAGUAAGAAGACA
rnacentral:rRNA from 1 species